GAUGAACGCUAGCUACAGGCUUAACACAUGCAAGUCGCGGGGCAGCAUGGGGGUUGCUUGCAAUCCCCGAUGGCGACCGGCGCACGGGUGAGUAACGCGUAUCCAACCUGCCCUUCACCACGGGAUAACCCGGCGAAAGUCGGACUAAUACCGUAUGUUGUCCAUUGACGGCAUCCGAUUUGGACGAAAGGUUUGGCGGUGAAGGAUGGGGAUGCGUCCGAUUAGCUGGACGGCGGGGCGACGGCCCACCGUGGCGACGAUCGGUAGGGGUUCUGAGAGGAAGGUCCCCCACACUGGAACUGAGACACGGUCCAGACUCCUACGGGAGGCAGCAGUGAGGAAUAUUGGUCAAUGGGCGUAAGCCUGAACCAGCCAAGUAGCGUGCAGGAUGACGGCCCUAUGGGUUGUAAACUGCUUUUAUGCGGGGAUAAAGUGGCCCACGUGUGGGUUUUUGCAGGUACCGCAUGAAUAAGGACCGGCUAAUUCCGUG
rnacentral:rRNA from 1 species